rnacentral:rRNA from 1 species
AGUGAACGCUGGCGGUAGGCCUAACACAUGCAAGUCGAACGGCAGCACAGUAAGAGCUUGCUCUUACGGGUGGCGAGUGGCGGACGGGUGAGGAAUACAUCGGAAUCUACUUUUUCGUGGGGGAUAACGUAGGGAAACUUACGCUAAUACCGCAUACGACCUACGGGUGAAAGCAGGGGAUCUUCGGACCUUGCGCGAUUGAAUGAGCCGAUGUCGGAUUAGCUAGUUGGCGGGGUAAAGGCCCACCAAGGCGACGAUCCGUAGCUCGUCUGAGAGGAUGGUCAGCCACACUGGAACGGAGACACGGUCCAGACUCCUACGGGAGGCAGCAGUGGGGAAUAGUGGACAAUGGGCGCAAGCCUGAUCCAGCCAUACCGCGUGGGUGAAGAAGGCCUUCGGGUUGUAAAGCCCUUUUGUUGGGAAAGAAAAGCAGCAGGUUAAUACCCCGCUGUUCUGACGGUACCCAAAGAAUAAGCACCGGCUAACUUCGUG